rnacentral:lncRNA from 1 species
UUUGACCGCUGUUGAUGAAGAUUGUGAGGAGGGAGACCAGAAGAUAAUGGACAACGAUACAGCAGAAGGGCCUGGUAAGCUCCGUUUAGUUGCAUUACCCGGGGAGACCUGAGGCAUGUUUCCAAGGGCUGUGGCUGCCUGUAGCCAUGGGAUCUCCAACUGCAUGCCAGAGUAAUGGAGAGACUUUGACAGCUCAGGUCAGCACAGUGCCUGCAGCUGCCACUCAUCUUUCCUAUAUAUGUAUAUCAGGCCUGGAGUUGAGCUCUGUCUACCUGUGAGGCUAUUGUUCUGUGGUAUUUACAACAAAUGUUUCUUCUGCAGGUUACACUUGAGCUUAUUUCUUGGAAGAGUCUGAGAAGACGGCCUGUCAGGCUCCUAACACUAAGGGCCAUGUAACCAGUGAAGCAGCCAUUAUAUAUGAUUUGGUCUACACUUGUUGGAAAAAUUCCACAAGAGGAUCUGGAAGCUAGCAGAAGUUUUUGGCUUGUACAUUGCCAGGCAGCCAUUGGAAUCAGAGCUGCAGUCAGAUUAAGGCCAGCCUGGCCUACAUUGAGAAACCUCAUUUUGGGAAAGUGAAAUGCUUUGUCAAUUAACAUGCAGUUGGUUCAAUAAAGACUUUUGGAAAGUGUCCUCUCUGUAACUG